GACGAACGCUGGCGGCGUGCUUAACACAUGCAAGUCGAGCGGUAAGGCCCUUUCGGGGGUACACGAGCGGCGAACGGGUGAGUAACACGUGGGUGACCUGCCCUUAGCUCUGGGAUAAGCCUGGGAAACUGGGUCUAAUACCGGAUAUGACUCCAUGACGCAUGUUGUGGGGUGGAAAGCCUUGUGCGGCUAGGGAUGGGCCCGCGGCCUAUCAGCUUGUUGGUGGGGUGAUGGCCUACCAAGGCGACGACGGGUAGCCGGCCUGAGAGGGCGACCGGCCACACUGGGACUGAGACACGGCCCAGACUCCUACGGGAGGCAGCAGUGGGGAAUCUUGCGCAAUGGGCGAAAGCCUGACGCAGCGACGCCGCGUGAGGGAUGACGGCCUCGGUGUAAC
rnacentral:rRNA from 1 species